rnacentral:lncRNA from 1 species
UUUAGAAUUGAUCUUACUACAUUAGAAAGUCUUCAUAAAAAUAAAAGCAAGCAGAAUGUACACGGACAGAUUGCUACUCUAAGAGGGGAGCUUAAUGUGUUACUUUGAAGAUAACAACAUUCUUAAUGAAAAGCACAAGGUGCAGACUCUUUGGAGAAAAUAGCCAUAAACCUGAUAGAAUAAUAUCUCCUCAGCUUACAAAGUGAGCCCCCGGGGGCACUGGCCAAGCUAACUGAAAUUAAAGCCGCCAUUAAACAUUUUUGACAGUAUUAUGUAUUACUCCCAGAUAAACAGGGCUCAUCUCAAUGACAUCAACAGCAAAUUAGAGUCCCUUGCUUUCAUAUCAUAAUUAUAAAUCCUUUUUUCCCUCUUUCUCUCUCUUUUUUUUUUAAAAUAAAUUCUGCUGCUGCUCCCUAUUUAUUUGAGAUUCCAGCAAAGGAAAAUCUCCAGAGCUAGAUGAGCAUAAGAUCCAUUUCAGUAAAACUGUAAAGCAGUUAAAAGGAAUAAGAACCUCAUCAAACCUAAGAAGGAAGAGAGAAAGCGGGAGAAAGAACAGGGGAGACAUGAGCAAAUAGCUGCAAGUGUGCUGCUGCCACCCACGCAAGCGGUUUGUUAAAACAGAUUGCUGCUUGUUAAAGCACUCAAAGAGAGUGGUGCUGCACAGCAUGGAUUUCAUUGUGGACUGCUCUUGCUGAAGCCGCUUGUUUCUGGGAAUCUACUGAAGUCCAUUAAGGAGAAGGCUAAUCUGCCACGCAUAUCUCUUAAUGCAGUUUUCUUGUAAAAUGAGCUGAACAGAAUCAGAUAAUAGAAAUGGUCUCCUACACAGGUUUUCGUAAGGUGAAUGAUUUUUAUCUAAAAUAAUUAUUUUUGUGAUUUGUUGGAAAUAGUUUGCCUACUUUGACAA